UGGCUCAAAUGUAUAACUUCCUGUGGAACUUGCAACUGUGUUCUGAAGUGGCUGUACAUUUUAUAUGCUCACUAGCAGUGUUAGGCAGAACUUCCAAUUUCAAAGGCAGUGAAAUUGAAAAUAACUACUCGGCUUUGGGGCUGGAGGAUGGUCCACCUGCAGAUCCUUUCUCCCGGAUACACAUUAGGAUGAAAAGGGCUCCACUCUCCUCUGCUAAGACUGUAGUCUCUCGUAUUUUGUCCAUUAGAAGAUGACAAGAAGGAAGAAAAACAGCCAAAUAACAUCAGAGCAAGCUAAAGUGGGCCAUUCCCUAGGGCCUCACUAAUGAAAUUCAAGGAUUUUAGCAAGGAGAAAGGCAGCUGCAGUCCAAAUGUUUUAAGAGGAACUUAUAGGGCUCGAGGGCCCUAAACCUAGAAGGUACAAUUGAUUUUGGCUGUGUUUCUCUGUCUCUGUGGAAAUGAAAGCUUAUUAAAUCGGAAAGCCUGUAUUCUCUCUGGAUCCUGGACAUGACAAUACCUUAACCACAGAUCCUCUGAAAGAGACAAAUAAAGUUCAUCAAAUGCUCUAAAGUGUCUCAGAUAUUGUUUUAGCCCAUUCUACAUUCAAUAUGUAGGACUUGUGAAUUUGUACCUCCCCCACAACAACAGCAAUAACAACAACAACAACGACAACCCCUUUUUCUUUUGUGUGUAGGCACUAGGAUAGACUGUAUUAUUUUUCCUAAUUAUUUACGUCCUUCCCUGUCAUGGGAUCUAACAUCUCAGCUCAUUGCCAUGUGACUUAUAAUGCCACCCCAUGAAGAAUUAAAACUUAUUCUUCCCAUUGACUAGGCUUGGCCAUAUGGUUUGCUUUCCCCAACAUAAUGGAGUGAAGUGAUAUGCCUCUCCAGGAUGAGUCACUGAAGGAGUCAACUAUCUUCUCCUUUCUUUUCUUACAAGGUCAAGAGCCUGGGUCCCAGGGACAGAUGGGAUAGGGUGAGCAGAUCAGCAGAACUGCCAGCGACCCCAAACCAACAUGUUGACAUGUUUACAUGAGCAAAGAAUAAAUGUAUACUGUUGUAAGC